AUUCGCACCAUACAAGUCAUACAAGGCGAGAACCUAUCGCGGACUUUGAAUCGGUACGAAUCAUGUAGAAAUCGCAACAGGAAAAUCGAUAGCCGGCUAGUCACCGCACAAACCUUAAAACCGAGAGUAAACCUAGGUCUUGCCCUAAACCCAUCGCAUUGGUCUCUAACAUCUCAAGACAUGAUAUCUAAAAAAUAAUACGAGAUCCUAAAACAUGUCUCUCCGUUCAUAUCUUAACGUUCCCGAAAGUUCAUAAAAAUUGUUUAUGAGACGACAACUCAUGUUUGCUUCAAACACACUCGAAACAAAGUAGAUCA
rnacentral:lncRNA from 1 species